rnacentral:rRNA from 1 species
AGGGAUAAGUGCUGAAAGCAUCUAAGCAUGAAGCCCCCCUCAAGAUGAGAUUUCCCAUAGCGUAAGCUAGUAAGAUCCCUGAAAGAUGAUCAGGUUGAUAGGUUCGAGGUGGAAGCAUGGUGACAUGUGGAGCUGACGAAUACUAAUAGAUCGAGGACUUAACCAU